rnacentral:miRNA from 1 species
AACUAUACCACGUAGACUCAAA